rnacentral:lncRNA from 1 species
CUCUCUGUCUCUCUCUCUCUCUCUCUCUCUCUCUCUCUCUCUCUCUCUCUCUGUCUCUCUCUCUCUCUCUCUCCAGGCCUGAGUGUUCCCCAACUGUCAGAAGCCUCUGUCUGUGCAGGCCUUAGUGCACAUGAACUAUUGGAAGCUUCUUCCUGUGUGGCCCAGCCAAGGAGUGAGGAUAGUUCGUGCCUCCAUGUCCUCUGCCAUAAGAGUUUACUGUGCCCUGGAGUCCUGGAAUAGUGCAGGGAACCAUGUCCCUAUAUUGCCAGGAUCUCUCAAUUCUAACUGGUUUCUGUUGAUUUGAUGGCUUCUUUAAUAUCAUAGGAGUCAAUAACUGACUUAAAACGUCCAAAAGACUGUCUUUGAAUCAUAGAAAGAAGUUCUGGUUAUAGAUAAGUCUUUUCUUCUUGCCCCCUCCUCUUCCCAUUUCAAAUGCCCAUCCCCAGGGUGAUGGUAUAAGGGAAAUGAGGCUUUUUAUUGGAGUUGCUUGGCAUCUUCUUGGUAUCUUUAUAACUUUUGCAUUGUUUGGUUCAUGGGACCUCUCUUUUCUUAGGAAAAACUGGAGAUAAUAAGCUUCACAAGGUAUUGGUAUCAGGGUCUGCUCACUGGAUUUUCAUCAUUAUAAUGGAAUACUUGAGUGUUGUAGAAUGAUUCCCUGAGCAAAGUGGCUGCCAUCUUCCUUAGACCAGCUUUGUCUGCUUAUAAGGCUCCAUGAGUACUGGGCUUGUUCCCUGUUAACAGAACUCUUUAGAAAGAGAGGGUAAGAGGAUCAUUGUAACUUUAUCUUUGCCCACCAAUUUGUGGAAUUCCAAUCUAAUUGCCCAUGGCCUUUGCAUUUAGAUUAAGGGAGGUACUGUGGUUUGAAUGAAAAUGGGCCCCAUAGGCUCAUAGGAAGCUUCACUAUUAGGAGGUUUGGCCUUGUUGGUGGAAGUGUGUCACUGGAGAUGGGCUUUGAGAUUUUGAAUGCUCACACCAGGCCCAGUGUCUUUUUUCUGCUGUCUGCUGAUCCAGAUGUAGAUCUCUUGGCUCAUUCUUCAGAAUAGUAUCUGCCUAUGUGCCACCAUGCUUCCUGACAUGACAUUAAUGGACUAAACUUCUGAAACAUAAACCAACCCAAAUUAAACGUUUUCCUUUGUAAGAGUUGCUAUGGUCAUGUUCUUAUCACAGUAGUAGAACACUGACUAAGACAGGAGAUUAACUGAGAGAGGCUUUAUCUAUGCUGCUAUGGGGAAGUUGUAAUCCAUGCUGGAUGAAGGUGUUCCAGUGUGGCGAUUGGAAGUUUCUACUUGUGAAGUCCAGGCUAAGGAAUAAGGAUAUCCCUGCCCACUAAGGAAGGAACAAGAGCAGAAAGCCAGAUUAUGGUCAUCUUCAGACCUCCCUAAUAGCCUUCUAGGGAGAACUAAAGGCCUCAAAGAGAACAGCUGUCCACGGGCAUGUUCCUGAUUUCCCAAAGACCAGGCUCUACAUCUUAAAAAUUGUACCAUCUCCCUACAGGUAUCUCCCUAGAACUAGGACUUUAAUAAGACCAAUCCACCAUAUCCAUACUGUAACACAGUACAACCUAAAUACAUCUACAUCAUUUCCUUAGUGUGAAGUAUUUGAACUAGAGUGAGCACCUGGCAGAGUUAGCUGCUGGUGUCAUUCAGAUUAGAGUGACUUUCUUGUCAUCACAAGAAGGAAGACACUGUAAAAAGAUUCAGGAUGACAGAGGCCCUUGAUAUUAGAAGAGUCAUUCCCUACCCUCCUUGAGUAAUGAAAGAUUCCAAAUUAUCCCAACUGAGAUGGGAAUAGGAAGCUUGGGAAUAGAGGGCACAUAGGUAGAAGAGCUGGGGAAUUUUCUUUUCUUUGGAAACAGCAGCUAUGUGUCAGAACAGGAUACUCCUAAGAGCUGCAUGGAGGCCCAACUCAUCCUUGCAUAUUACACUUCAGCUUCUCACUCUCUCAAUGGGAAUAAUACUUCAGGACUCAAAUCUGUAAUUUUCCUAACUUUGCAGGUAUUUGUUGUAUUAUCUCAGUUCCAGGAUGCUUAAUUUUUCACAUUGCACCAUUUUAGAAGAUGUAGAUUGCAAAAGCAAAUUGAUAGUUGCCUUCUAGAUAGUGUUUUGAUAGACCCUAUAUUCAGCGGCCUCUUAUAAUCCUGAGAGAAAGUAUUAUCUUUAUAAGUAUAUUUCACUAGCUUCUCCUUUUACUCUUGAGUGAUAGGGAAGAGAAGAAUGUGGGUAAGUUUGAAUGAUAAUGGACCAUAUUGCUCAUAUAUUUGCAUCCUUAAUCCCCUAGUGUUGAACUCUUUAGAAAACAUUAGGAGGUAUAUCAUUGUUGGAGGAGGUGUGUCAGAAGGAGGAGAGGCUUUGAGGUUUCAAAAGCUCAUGCUUAUUGUACACACAUACUCCUCUCUUUCUGCCUGUGUGUCUGCCUACCUGCCCUCAGACACUUUCCCUGCAGGGAACCUAGCUCAGAUUCAUACAAGGUCGGUGAUUAUCACUUCCGUCUAUGUUAGCCCCUAUGAACUUAGAGCUUAGUUGACUUUGGGAUGAUGGCCCCUGACCAUCUAGGAUUCUCUGAAGUAAAAAUGUAGAGAACAGAAAAGCAGGCAAUAUUAGGAAGGUAGUUGAGAAGCUGAUGGUGGGUUUAAGCAGAAGCAGGAGCCAGUUCCUGGGAGAGAAGGCAUAUCAGGCUGUGUCUGGCUAUAACGAGAAUAGUGAGAUUAGUGACCUAGUCAAACAUCUGCCCUCAGUACUGAAAGGUGAUUGUGCUGCUGUCAUGAAAGAUGCGGACUGUUUCACUAUACUAGAGAGUUCAGAACCCAAAACAAAGAGUCCUGACCAGGAGCCCCUUAUGUCAAAACUAAGCUAAUGUGGAGGGCGGGUACCAUACAGACUCUGGGCUAUUUAAAAAUUAAUCAUGAAUUUCUGUAGACCUGAGACAUAAUGGAGCUCCUUUGGAUAUAUAUGAGAGAAAGGACUUUAAUAAAUACUCAAAUUUUAGAUUCCUGGAUACAGAAGAGAAUAACCAUAUAGGUGAUUCUAGUUUCUCGGGUUAACAGCAGGUGGGUAAU